rnacentral:ncRNA from 1 species
UCUUAUCAAGAGUAGGUGGAGGGACCAGCCCAAUGAAACCCGGCAACCGGCGAGCAAUCGCACGGUGCUAAUUCUUGCAGAACUUCAGGCAGCCGCAAGGCCCUGAGUCUCUGAGAGAUGAG